rnacentral:rRNA from 1 species
UGCCAGUGAUAAACUGGAGGAAGGUGGGGAUGACGUCAAGUCAUCAUGGCCCUUACGACCAGGGCUACACACGUGCUACAAUGGCGCAUACAAAGAGAAGCGACCUCGCGAGAGCAAGCGGACCUCAUAAAGUGCGUCGUAGUCCGGAUUGGAGUCUGCAACUCGACUCCAUGAAGUCGGAAUCGCUAGUAAUCGUGGAUCAGAAUGCCACGGUGAAUACGUUCCCGGGCCUUGUACACACCGCCCGUCACACCAUGGGAGUGGGUUGCAAAAGAAGUAGGUAGCUUAACCUUCGGGAGGGCGCUUACCACUUUGUGAUUCAUGACUGGGGUGAAGUCGUAACAAGGUAACCGUAGGGGAACCUGCGGUUGGAUCACCUCCU